rnacentral:rRNA from 1 species
GAGUUUGAUCUUGGCUCAGGACGAACGCUGGCGGCGUGCUUAACACAUGCAAGUCGAGCGAGAAUCUACUGAAAGAGUUUUCGGACAAUGGAAGUAGAGGAAAGUGGCGGACGGGUGAGUAACGCGUGAGGAACCUGCCUUGAAGAGGGGGACAACAGUUGGAAACGACUGCUAAUACCGCAUGAUGCAUAAGGGUCGCAUGAUUCUUAUGCCAAAGAUUUAUCGCUUCAAGAUGGCCUCGCGUCUGAUUAGCUAGUUGGCGGGGUAACGGCCCACCAAGGCGACGAUCAGUAGCCGGACUGAGAGGUUGAACGGCCACAUUGGGACUGAGAUACGGCCCAGACUCCUACGGGAGGCAGCAGUGGGGAAUAUUGGGCAAUGGGCGCAAGCCUGACCCAGCAACGCCGCGUGAAGGAGAAGGCUUUCGGUAUGUAAACUUCUAUCAGCAGGGAAGAAAAUGACGGUACCUGACUAAGAAGCCCCGGCUAACUACGUGCCAGCAGCCGCGGUAAG